UACGGGGGGGGCAAGCGUUGUUCGGAAUUACUGGGCGUAAAGGGCGCGUAGGCGGUUCGCUAAGUUGGAUGUGAAAACUCUGGGCUCAACCCAGAGCCUGCAUCCAAAACUGGCGGGCUAGAGUUCUGGAGGGGGUAGCGGAAUUCCUGGUGUAGCGGUGAAAUGCGUAGAUAUCAGGAGGAACACCGGUGGCGAAGGCGGCUACCUGGACAGAAACUGACGCUGAGGCGCGAAAGCUAGGGGAGCGAACAGG
rnacentral:rRNA from 1 species